rnacentral:rRNA from 1 species
CGCGUCCUACGGGGGGCAGCAGUGAGGAAUAUUGGUCAAUGGCCGGGAGGCUGAACCAGCCAAGUCGCGUGAGGGAAGACGGCCCUACGGGUUGUAAACCUCUUUUGUCAGGGAGCAAGAGGCGGGUCGAGACCUGCUGUGAGAGUACCUGAAGAAAAAGCAUCGGCUAACUCCGUGCCAGCAGCCGCGGUAAUACGGAGGAUGCGGGCGUUAUCCGGAUUUAUUGGGUUUAAAGGGUGCGCAGGCGGAGGCACAAGUCAGCGGGAAAAUCGCGGGGGUCAACCCCGCCCCGCCGCUUGAACUGU